UUCCAUGAUGAGGACAAACAUGAAUGUAUCCUUACAAAUGCUCCAAUGCUUCUAAAAUGGUUUCCAUCUUCUCUUGUUGGAAAUUGCUAAUCUUUCCUCUUAAGGCA
rnacentral:snoRNA from 1 species